rnacentral:rRNA from 1 species
UCGCCCUGUUUUACAAAAACAUGUUUUUUUGUAUUAUAAUUUGAAAUUUGACCUGCCCACUGAAAUUUAAUUUGAAGGGCCGCGGUAUUUUGACCGUGCAAAGGUAGCAUAAUCAUUAGUCCUUUAAUUGUGGACUGGAAUGAAUGGUUUGACGAGGUAUUAGCUGUCUCAUAUUUAAUGAUUUGAAUUUAACUUUUAAGUUAAAAGGCUUAAAUAAUUUUAUAGGACGAGAAGACCCUAUAGAGCUUAAUAAUUAUUUGCUUUAUAUAUUUUUGGUUUAUUAUUUUUAUAAAGAAUGUAAUUAUUUUAUUGGGGUGAUGUGAAGAAUUAAUAAACUCUUUAUUAUUAUAAACAUUGAUUUAUGAAAAAUUGAUCCAUUAUUAAUGAUUAUAAGAUUAAGUUACCUUAGGGAUAACAGCGUUAUUUUUUUUGAGAGUUCUUAUCAACAAAAAAGAUUGCGACCUCGAUGUUGGAUUAAGGUAAAUAUUGGGUGUAGAAUUUCAAUAGUUAGGUCUGUUCGACCAUUAAAUCCUUACGUGAUCUGAUUCCAGACCGGGA